rnacentral:rRNA from 1 species
GAUGAACGCUGGCGGCGUGCCUAAUACAUGCAAGUCGAGCGAACAGACGAGGAGCUUGCUCCUCUGACGUUAGCGGCGGGCGGGUGAGUAACACGUGGAUAACCUACCUAUAAGACUGGGAUAACUUCGGGAAACCGGAGCUAAUACCGGAUAACAUGAUGAACCGCAUGGUUCAACAGUGAAAGACGGUCUUGCUGUCACUUAUAGAUGGUUCCGCGCCGCAUUAGCUAGUUGGUAAGGUAACGGCUUACCAAGGCAACGAUGAGUAGCCGACCUGAGAGGGUGAUCGGCGACACUGGAACUGAGACACGGGCCAGACUCCUACGGGAGGCAGCAGUAGGGAAUCUUCCGCAAUGGGCGAAAGCCUGACGGAGCAACGCCGCGUGAGUGAAGAAGGUCUUCGGAUCGUAAAACUCUGUUAUUAGGGAAGAACAAAUGUGUAAGUAACUAUGCACGUCUUGACGGUACCUAAUCAGAAAGCCACGGCUAACUACGUG